AAUUAUAAGAAGAUUGAAUUAGUGUCAAAUUAUGAAGUCUCUGAUGUGUUUGUUUUGUAUUAUGUGUAAAAUUCGGGAACGGCCACUGUCUGAGUCGCCUCAGGAUACUUGAGAUAUGGGAGAAAUCACAGCCUUGAAGAUUGCGCCCGCACAGCCGUGGUCCAGUGGUAAGGGAGAAUUGGGGAAAGGUUGGAAGGAACUAACCCAGGUUCGAUCUACCCUGGAAACAAAAAUCAUGGUUGUGUGAGAAGUCUGUCAGUUGGUUUACCUGGUAGUCAGAAAUGCAGGCGGUCUGACUACCCCCUGGCAUUAGUCGGAAAGCAUUCCAAACUCGGAAUAUAGUGUGGUGGCCCUUCGGAGAGAAGUCCAUUCUGAAGCACUUCGGUGCGUUUCUAACGGGGCUGAUCCGGUCCGUAUCAGCCGAUAGGGUUUACCAAAAAAAAAAAA